rnacentral:rRNA from 1 species
UACAGAGGGCUCAAGCGCUGUUCGGAUUCAUUGGGCGUAAAGGGUGUGUAGGUGGCGCCGUAAGUCGGGUGUGAAAUUUCGGAGCUUAACUCCGAAACUGCAUUCGAUACUGCGGUGCUUGAGGACUGGAGAGGAGACUGGAAUUCAUGGUGUAGCAGUGAAAUGCGUAGAGAUCAUGAGGAAGACCAGUGGCGAAGGCGGGUCUCUGGACAGUUCCUGACACUGAGACACGAAGGCCAGGGGAGCAAACGGG